GCUGGAGCGUGCAGCGAACGUGUAGAUAGGAUCUUGGACUGCUGCACCGUCCGCGCUUCAGUUCAAUGCGGAAUCGUUUUUUUUGCUCGUUGCCGUCUGUGGCAGUGUGGGUGUUCUGGGCGGAUGCGUGUUCUGCUUGCGGCCCUUCAUAUUGUUAUUUUCUGGGAGUUUGAGUGACGCUCCGUCGCAAUCUGGUUGCGGAAUUGAAACGCUUUCGUUCGUUACUUGCCGAUCGGCAGGUGGCGUUUAGAUUUGUGGGACUAUUAAUCGUCCGGGUCAACGUUACCAGAAUAGCGGACGUCGGACAGGAACCACCCGGCCGUUAUCGGGAGCAGGUGCUUCUCCCUGGCUUGAAGUCAGGGCAGGUCGAUCACACGCUAACGCUGAUGCACUGUCACGCCGCCCUGAUGCUCCGACGACGCUGUUCGUAGGGGCCGUGAAUAACGACGUUGGCAACAUCCCCACACCCCUCAUCCGCCGUUUCAACUGGCCGUGGUCAAGAUGGGAAACGGAACAGGAGAAGGACCGAGAUCUCGCCCAAGUAGUGUCCUGGCUAGGUAUGGACUCUCCGCCUUGCCCGCAGGAUAUGAUGGGUAGCAGUCGUGAGGUACGUAUUUUGUGGAAAAAUCAUGAAAUGCUGGUUCAUCAUGUUGUGCCGUCGUUGGGAGGACCCCUGCCCCAGUAAGCCAUCUCUCUUGCAAGUCGUAGUUCCCCGACAUUUACGUUCUUUGGUUUUGCAAGAGUAUCAUGACCAGGGAGGGGGGGGGGACAUACGGGUUCUACACGCCUGCAAAAGAAACUGACGCAACAAUAUCACUGGGUAGGCAUGAAGAAAGAUGUCUUAGAUUGGGUUGCAAGUGGUUCUUCCUGUAGCCAGUUGAAACGUCCCGUAGGCAAAGGGUCUGGCGCCCCACCACAGUCUUCCUGGACAGGGUAUCCUUUUGAGCGAGUAGCAAUGGAUUUGAUCCCCAAUUUACCGGAGACAGCGGAAGGGAGCCGCCAUAUUUUGGUUGUAGUGGACUAUUGCUCCUGAUCGGUUGCAUACCGAUCAGGGCAAACACUUUGAUGGAUCUUUGUUUCACAGUAUUUGCUUUCUGCUUGGCAUAGAUAAGACCAGGACAACUGCGUACCAUCCACAGAGUGACGGUCUGCUUGAAAGAUUCAACCAGACGCUUGAGCGUGGCCUGGCGCACUAUGUCUGCAGGAAUCAUCGAGAUUGUGACAUCAAGUUGCCAGCCUUCUUGAUGGGAUACCGCUCGACGCCGCACACUAGUACCGUCUACUGUCCAAGCUAUCUACUCUUUGGUCGGGAGUUAUGCCUACCUCAAGACUUGGCAUUUGGAUUAUCGCCAGGAGAAGCAUCUGCAGUAUCUUCACAGCCGGAAUUUGUGAUUGCUCUCCGCCGACACCUGGAGGACGCUCAUGCGCAGGUCCGGGAACACCUGGGCAACGUGCACCGUUAUCAAGCGCAUAUCCGUGAUCGCAACGCUAAGGCCGUGACGCAGGUGACGCAGUGUGGCUUCUGGUGCCAGCUAUUCCGACGGGUACAACCGCCAAGUUUGCUAGGCUUUGGCACGGACCGUACCUAGUCGAGGAGAAGCUCUCAGCCGUCACAUACUGCAUCAAACUGUCUGAGCCCACGGCACGUCGGCUGAUAGUGCACGCCAACCGGCUGAAAAGUUGCCAUCAUCGACCGAGUCGGCUGCAGGAGGUUCACGAGCAAGAUGAGUCGGACCCACCGCAGCCCAUGGCAUCCACCCUGACUCCGCCCUACCAGCCUGAUGCUACUGAUACCGCCGACCGAAACAAGGAGGACACCGCUCGGGUAUUUGGCAGUGCUCCGCCAGUUGGCGUGAUGGAAAGGCGAACUCCGCGUUCCCGCCAUCCGCCCCAGCUGUUUGGGAGUCCUGUGUGGCACGAGUAAGUGACUUCAGUGGUAUUGACUGGAUUAGUGGUGUUCGAUAUUACAGUUAGUCUUUGAACAGAUUUUGAUAAGAACUCCAAUUUGACCUGCACUCGUUUAGUUAAAUUGUAAGCCAUAAUCUUAGUCUAAUUGAUAACGUUACUUAUAACACGAGGACGUGUUCUUUUCCGUGUAAGCGAGGGGAUAUGUCGUAUCCAUACUAUUGACACGUGCCUUUUACGCCUCUACGUGACAAGUCUGCCUUAUUUAGGUGUCUAAUUAUUUAUCUAUCUCCUAUAAACGGGUUCAUAAUCGUCUUUAUUUUAUGUCUUCACGCAAGGCCUGGUGCCUUCCUUAUUUGGUAUACACUGUUAUUUUCCCACCUAGCUCCCGCUCUUUAUGCAACAGUUUGUACACAUAUUUACUACGGUUUGAUACGCUAUUGCAUGCGGGACCAGCAAUCUGGUGGCCAUGGACUUCCAUGGCCGCAGUUGGAUAGUAUUGCCAUCACCUUCCUUUUCUCUCUAUCUCUCUUGCCUUGUGCUCUUCAUUAUCUUCUCUUGAACUGAGUUACAUGUACCCUCCUGUGAAGAUGUGAGUAAACCUGAA